GGACUACAGGGGUAUCUAAUCCUGUUUGCUCCCCACGCUUUCGCACCUCAGCGUCAGUACCGGACCAGAGAGCCGCCUUCGCCACUGGUGUUCUUCCCAAUAUCUACGAAUUUCACCUCUACACUGGGAAUUCCGCUCUCCUCUUCCGGACUCCAGCGCCACAGUCUUGGAGGCAAUUCCGGGGUUGAGCCCCGGGAUUUCACCCCCAACUUGCAACGCCGCCUACGUGCGCUUUACGCCCAGUAAUUCCGAACAACGCUAGCCCCCUCCGUCUUACCGCGGCUGCUGGCAC
rnacentral:rRNA from 2 species